CUGCUCAAUGAUUUUUUAAAUUGCUGUGGUAUUUUGACUAUACGAAGGUAUUGAAAUAAGAUUUUAAAUGAGUGCUAAGAGAAUGGUUGAACAAUUAUAAGCUUUCUUUAAUUUAAUAAUUAAAUUUAAUUUUUUUGUGAAGAAGCAAAAAUAAAAAUUAGGGACAAGAAGACCCUAUGAAUUUUAAUUUAUUUAUUAUAUAAAAUGUGUUAAAUAAAUUUAAUUGGGGUGAUUGGAAAAGAAUAAAUAUCUUUUUUUAAAAUAAUUUUUUAAAUUGGUUCCGUUUUUAGCGAUUAAAUGAAAAAAAUACUCUAGGGAUAACAGCGUAAUAAUUUUGGAUAGUUCAUAUUGAUAAAAUAGUUUGCGACCUCGAUGUUGGAUUAGGAUUCUUUUUUGGUGAAGAAGUUAUAAAAAGAAGUUUGUUCAACUUUUAAUUUCCUACUUGAUCUGAGUUCAGACCGG
rnacentral:rRNA from 1 species